AGGAGGUCGGCAAUAAGGUUAGGCUCU
rnacentral:sRNA from 1 species